rnacentral:rRNA from 1 species
GACGAAGGGGGCUAGCGUUGUUCGGAAUUACUGGGCGUAAAGCGCGUGUAGGCGGUUGUUCAAGUCCGGUGUGAAAGCCUUGAGCUCAACUCAAGAAAUGCACUUGAUACUGGAUGACUAGAGGACCGGAGAGGAUAGUGGAAUUCCCAGUGUAGUGGUGAAAUACGUAGAGAUUGGGAAGAACACCAGUGGCGAAGGCGGCUCACUGGCUGAAUACUGACGCUAAGGCGCGAAAGCGUGGGGAGCAAACAGG